rnacentral:rRNA from 1 species
UACAGAGGGGGCAAGCGUUGUUCGGAAUUACUGGGCGUAAAGGGCUCGUAGGCGGCCAACUAAGUCAGACGUGAAAUCCCCGGGCUUAACCUGGGAAUUGCGAUGGUGACUGCAAGGCUAGAGUUUGGCAGAGGGGGGUAGAAUUCCACGUGUAGCAGUGGAAAUGCGUAGAGAUGUGGAGGAACACCGAUGGCGAAGGCAGCCCCCUGGGUCAAAACUGACGCUCAUGCACGAAAGCGUGGGGAGCAAACAGGAUUAGAAACC